rnacentral:rRNA from 1 species
AUUGAACGCUGGCGGCAUGCCUUACACAUGCAAGUCGAACGGCAGCACGGGUGCUUGCACCUGGUGGCGAGUGGCGAACGGGUGAGUAAUACAUCGGAACAUGUCCUGUAGUGGGGGAUAGCCCGGCGAAAGCCGGAUUAAUACCGCAUACGAUCUACGGGUGAAAGCGGGGGACCUUCGGGCCUCGCGCUAUAGGGUUGGCCGAUGGCUGAUUAGCUAGUUGGUGGGGUAAAGGCCUACCAAGGCGACGAUCAGUAGCUGGUCUGAGAGGACGACCAGCCACACUGGGACUGAGACACGGCCCAGACUCCUACGGGAGGCAGCAGUGGGGAAUUUUGGACAAUGGGCGAAAGCCUGAUCCAGCAAUGCCGCGUGUGUGAAGAAGGCCUUCGGGUUGUAAAGCACUUUUGUCCGGAAAGAAAUCCUUGGCCCUAAUACGGUCGGGGGAUGACGGUACCGGAAGAAUAAGCACCAGCUAACUACGUG